rnacentral:rRNA from 1 species
GAUGAACGCUAGCUACAGGCUUAACACAUGCAAGUCGAGGGGCAGCAUUUCAGUUUGCUUGCAAACUGGAGAUGGCGACCGGCGCACGGGUGAGUAACACGUAUCCAACCUGCCGAUAACUCGGGGAUGGCCUUUCGAAAGAAAGAUUAAUACCCGAUAGUAUAAUGAAACCGCAUGGUCUUAUUAUUAAAGAAUUUCGGUUAUCGAUGGGGAUGCGUUCCAUUAGGCAGUUGGUGAGGUAACGGCUCACCAAACCUUCGAUGGAUAGGGGUUCUGAGAGGAAGGUCCCCCACAUUGGAACUGAGACACGGUCCAAACUCCUACGGGAGGCAGCAGUGAGGAAUAUUGGUCAAUGGACGAGAGUCUGAACCAGCCAAGUAGCGUGAAGGAUGACUGCCCUAUGGGUUGUAAACUUCUUUUAUAUGGGAAUAAAGUUUUCCACGUGUGGAAUUUUGUAUGUACCAUAUGAAUAAGGAUCGGCUAACUCCGUGCCAGCAGCCGCGGUAAUACGGAGGAUCCGAGCGUUAUCCGGAUUUAUUGGGUUUAAAGGGAGCGUAGGUGGACAGUUAAGUCAGUUGUGAAAGUUUGCGGCUCAACCGUAAAAUUGCAGUUGAUACUGGCUGUCUUGAGUACAG